CCAAUAGCGUAUAUUAAAGUUGUUGCAGUUAAAAAGCUCGUAGUUGAAUUUCGGGAUCAGUACGCUGGUCGUGCCUUUGGUAUGUACUGGUGUCACUGAUUCCUCCCUUCUGAUGAACCGUUAUGCCAUUUAUUUGGUGUGACGGGGAAUCAGGACUGUUACUUUGAAAAAAUUAGAGUGUUUAAAGCAGGCUCGCGCUUGAAUAUAUUAGCAUGGAAUAAUGAAAUAGGACGUUUGAUUCUAUUUUGUUGGUUUCUAGGAUCGACGUAAUGAUUAAUAGGGAUAGUUGGGGGCAUUAGUAUUCAAUUGUCAGAGGUGAAAUUCUUGGAUUUAUUGAAGACUAACUACUGCGAAAGCAUUUGCCAAGGAUGUUGUCAUUAAUCAAGAACGAAAGUUAGGGGAUCGAAGACGAUCAGAUACCGUCGUAGUCUUAACCAUAAACUAUGCCGACUAGGGAUCGGAUGAUGUUAAUUUUUUAAUGACUCAUUCGGCGCCUUACG
rnacentral:rRNA from 1 species